UACGUAGGGGGCAAGCGUUGUCCGGAUUCAUUGGGCGUAAAGAGCGUGUAGGCGGCCAGGUAGGUCGGUUGUGAAAACUGGAGGCUCAACCUUCAGAGGUCGACCGAAACCAUCUGGCUAGAGUCCGGGAGAGGAGAGUGGAAUUCCUGGUGUAGCGGUGAGAUGCGCAGAUAUCAGGAGGAACACCAGUGGCGAAGGCGGCACUCUGGGCCGGUACUGACGCUGAGGAGCGAAAGCGUGGGGAGCGAACAGG
rnacentral:rRNA from 1 species